AGCUGCAGUCGAGGAUCUUUCGCAAUGGGCGCAAGCCUGACGAAGCGACGCUGCGUGAGCGAUGAAGGCCUUCGGGUCGUAAAGCUCUUUCGCGCRAGAACAAGGAAGUAGUUGUGAAUAACAUGCGUAGACUUGAGGGUACUGCGUAAAGAAGCACCGGCUAACUCC
rnacentral:rRNA from 1 species